rnacentral:rRNA from 1 species
GUACCGCCUGCCCUGUGGAAUUCCUUAACGGCCGCGGCAUAAAACCGUGCAAAGGUAGCACAAUCACUUGUCCCCUAAAUAAGGACCCGUAUGAAAGGCAACAUGAGAGAGGACCUGUCUCCUAAAGUAAGCCAAUGAACCUGAAUAGCCAGUACAAAAGCUGGUAUAAACUAGCAAGACAAAAAGACCCCAUGGAACUUUCAACAAACCACUAAAUAGAGCUUAGUGAAAGUUUUGGUUGGGACAACCAUAGAAAAACUUAACCUCUAGACCCACUUAGACCAACUAGUCUAAACUGCUGAAUUGACCCAGUCAGACUGAUUAAUGAAACAAGCUACCCUGGGGAUAACAGCGCCACCUUCUUUAAGAGUCCAUAUCAACAAGAAGACCUACGACCUCGAUGUUGGAUCAGGACACCCAGACGGUGUAACAGCUGUCAAAGGUUCGUUUGUUCAACGAUUAAUGCCCU